ACCGAAGCUGCGGCAGCGACGCUGUGCGUUGUUGGGUAGGGGAGCGUUCUGUAAGCCUGUGAAGGUGUGCCGUGAGGGUUGCUGGAGGUAUCAGAAGUGCGAAUGCUGACAUAAGUAACGAUAAAGCGGGUGAAAAGCCCGCUCGCCGGAAGACCAAGGGUUCCUGUCCAACGUUAAUCGGGGCAGGGUGAGUCGACCCCUAAGGCGAGGCCGAAAGGCGUAGUCGAUGGGAAACGGGUUAAUAUUCCCGUACUUGGUGUUACUGCGAAGGGGGGACGGAGAAGGCUAUGUUGGCCGGGCGACGGUUGUCCCGGUUUAAGCGUGUAGGUGUGUGUUCCAGGUAAAUCCGGUUCACUUUAACACUGAGGCGUGA
rnacentral:rRNA from 1 species